rnacentral:rRNA from 1 species
UACAGAGGUCUCAAGCGUUGUUCGGAUUCAUUGGGCGUAAAGGGAGCGUAGGUGGCGGGGUUAGUCAGGUGUGAAAUCUCGGGGCUCAACUCCGAAACUGCACUUGAUACUGCCUUGCUAGAGUACUGGAGAGGAGAUUGGAAUUUACGGUGUAGCAGUGAAAUGCGUAGAUAUCGUAAGGAAGACCAGUGGCGAAGGCGGGUCUCUGGACAGUUCCUGACGCUGAGGCACGAAGGUCAGGGGAGCAAACGGG